rnacentral:rRNA from 1 species
AAAAUGUUAAUUGUAAUAGUGAAAUGUGCAUAUAAUUGGUAGCUUAUUUCUUUGAUAUUGGUAGCUUGGGGUCUUUAUAGAUAUUCUAUUCACGAAAGCUUGAGGUGUGACAGGGAUUAGAUACCCCAUUAAUUCAAGUGAUAAAUUAUGGCUUAUUGUAGAUUGGAUCUAUUUUUAACAUGUGAAGCUUGUUAACCUAAGGAGUACGCUUUCAUAAGUGAAACUUAAAUGUUCUGGUGGUGAUUUAGAACAAUAGUGGAAUAGAUGAUUUAAUUCGAUGUUAUGCGAUAAAGCUUAUCAGUUAUCAAA